GGGGAAAAAGGGGGUUAACCAAUACAUGCAAGUCGAGCGGACAGAUGGGAGCUUGCUCCCUGAUGUUAGCGGCGGACGGGUGAGUAACACGUGGGUAACCUGCCUGUAAGACUGGGAUAACUCCGGGAAACCGGGGCUAAUACCGGAUGGUUGUUUGAACCGCAUGGUUCAAACAUAAAAGGUGGCUUCGGCUACCACUUACAGAUGGACCCGCGGCGCAUUAGCUAGUUGGUGAGGUAACGGCUCACCAAGGCAACGAUGCGUAGCCGACCUGAGAGGGUGAUCGGCCACACUGGGACUGAGACACGGCCCAGACUCCUACGGGAGGCAGCAGUAGGGAAUCUUCCGCAAUGGACGAAAGUCUGACGGAGCAACGCCGCGUGAGUGAUGAAGGUUUUCGGAUCGUAAAGCUCUGUUGUUAGGGAAGAACAAGUACCGUUCGAAUAGGGCGGUACCUUGACGGUACCUAACCAGAAAGCCACGGCUAACUACGUGCCAGCAGCCGCGGUAAUACGUAGGUGGCAAGCGUUGUCCGGAAUUAUUGGGCGUAAAGGGCUCGCAGGCGGUUUCUUAAGUCUGAUGUGAAAGCCCCCGGCUCAACCGGGGAGGGUCAUUGGAAACUGGGGAACUUGAGUGCAGAAGAGGAGAGUGGAAUUCCACGUGUAGCGGUGAAAUGCGUAGAGAUGUGGAGGAACACCAGUGGCGAAGGCGACUCUCUGGUCUGUAACUGACGCUGAGGAGCGAAAGCGUGGGGAGCGAACAGGAUUAGAUACCUGGGUAGUCCAAA
rnacentral:rRNA from 1 species